rnacentral:rRNA from 1 species
UUAGUGGCGGACGGGUGAGUAACGCGUGGGUAACCUGCCUUGUACUGGGGGACGAACAGUUGGAAACGACUGCUAAUAACCGCAUAAGCGCACAGCUUCGCAUGAAGCAGUGUGAAAAACUCCGGUGGUACAAGAUGGACCCGCGUCUGAUUAGCUGGUUGGUGAGGUAACGGCCCACCAAGGCGACGAUCAGUAGCCGGCCUGAGAGGGUGAACGGCCACAUUGGGACUGAGACACGGCCCAAACUCCUACGGGAGGCAGCAUG